GGAUAACCUGCCCUAAGGAAGGGGAUACCCCCGGGAAACUGGGGAUAAUACCCUAUAGGUUACAGAUGCUGGAAUGCUCUGUACCCGAAAGUUCCGGCGCCUUAGGAUGGAUCUGCGGCCGAUUAGGUUGUUGUCGGGGUAACGGCCCAACAAGCCAGUAAUCGGUACGGGUUGUGGGAGCAAGAGCCCGGAGUCGGAUUCUGAGACACGAAUCCAGGCCCUACGGGGCGCAGCAGGCGCGAAAACUUUACAAUGCGGGCAACCGUGAUAAGGGAACCUCGAGUGCCUGUAUAUGCAGGCUGUCUGGGUGUCUAAAACACACCUAAAGAAAGGGCCGGGCAAGACCGGUGCCAGCCGCCGCGGUAAUACCGGCGGCUCGAGUGGUGGCCACUUUUAUUGGGCUUAAAGCGUUCGUAGCUGGGUUAUUAAGUCCCUUGGGAAAUCCGACGGCUUAACCGUCGGGCGUCUAAGGGAUACUGGCAAUCUUGGAACCGGGAGAGGUGAGAGGUACUCCAGGGGUAGGAGUGAAAUCCUGUAAUCCUCGAGGGACCACCUGUGGCGAAGGCGCCUCACCAGAACGGCUUCGACAGUGAGGGACGAAAGCUGGGGGAGCAAACCGGAUUAGAUACCCGGGUAGUCCCAGCCGUAAACGAUGUGCGUUAGGUGUAUCGGUGACCACGAGUCACCGAGGUGCCGAAGGGAAACCGUGAAACGUACCGCCUGGGAAGUACGGUCGCAAGGCUGAAACUUA
rnacentral:rRNA from 1 species